rnacentral:rRNA from 1 species
CCUACGGGUGGCAGCAGUGGGGAAUAUUGCACAAUGGGGGAAACCCUGAUGCAGCGACGCCGCGUGAGUGAAGAAGUAUUUCGGUACGUAAAGCUCUAUCAGCAGGGAAGAAAAUGACGGUACCUGACUAAGAAGCCCCGGCUAACUAAGUGCCAGCAGCCGCGGUAAUACGUAGGGGGCAAGCGUUAUCCGGAUUUACUGGUUGUAAAGGGAGCGUAGACGGCAGCGCAAGUCUGGAGUGAAAUCCCAUGGCUUAACCAUGGAACUGCUUUGGAAACUGUGCAGCUAGAGUGCAGGAGAGGUAAGCGGAAUUCCUAGUGUAGCGGUGAAAUGCGUAGAUAUUAGGAGGAACACCAGUGGCGAAGGCGGCUUACUGGACUGUAACUGACGUUGAGGCUCGAAAGCGUGGGGAGCAAACAGGAUUAGAUACCCAGUAGUC